AGCCUUCUCUAUAAUACACCCUACUCCCCUGCUGUGCGUGUUACAAGAAGGGGAAAGGUGAGGAUUGGCUUUUAGAAAUAUGAUUACAAGAGCUACAAUCGCCAUCCACUCACUGUCACUGAUGUUUGAAAGAUGAAAUGGAUGAACCUAGGCUUGCGAUUCAGGGGACUCUAUGGAUAUUGCAUUCUAGCUUUCACUUAGAGUCACCUUUUAAAAUGUUAGAUGAAAAGAGCAAUGGACAGAACCGCUGAUCGCUUAUGUGGGAAAGUUUUUCCUGUGAAUGUUUUGGAUGAACUUGUGUUAUUCUUGGCUGUUACAAGGUGGCAUUAUCCUUAUACGGCUUUCAAUGCUUUGGCCAUUAUUUCACAACCAAAGUGAAUAGUGGAGAAUCUUGCUUAACUCAGCUUAUUGAUGAGGAUGGUACAUUUAAUGUUGCUAGAUUUAAGCACUUUAUUAAGGAUGUAAAAUUGGGUGAUUGUGGGCUUUCAUAUGCUGUAGUCUCCAUCAUGGGACCACAAAGUAGCGGGAAAAGCACACUGUUAAAUCAUUUGUUUGGUACUAACUUUGGGGAAAUGGAUGCAUUUAAAGGAAGCAAUCUUCUCUUGAUAUUCUCAUGGUACUUAAAAUUUUUGUUGAUGGAAGAUAAAAUGACUUAUAAAACGUGGUUCUCUUCCGGUCUCAAACGACCCAAGGUAUAUGGUUAGCAAGAUGUGCUACAGUGCUAGCAUUGAGCCUUGUACUCUUGUAAUGGACUUGGAGGGUACUGACAGAAGGGAAAGGGGAGAGGAUGAUACUGCUUUUGAGAAGCAAAGUGCCCUCUUUGCCCUUGCUGUUUCAGAUAUAGUGCUCAUAAACAUGUGGUGUCAUGACAUUGGCCGUGAGCAAGCUGCAAAUAAACCACUUUUAAAGACUGUAUUCCAGACACCAUUGGAAAAUUUAGAACCCAUUCUAAGAAAAGAUAUUCAGAAGUCUUUGGCUCCAGUAUUAUGUGCUUGCGAAUUGCACGAAUUUAUAUUCAACCUUAGUUUUUCAUUCUCCUCAAAAGAUCGCUGUAAAUUCAGUGUCUUGGUUGAAGGCAGGGGAAUUUAAAAGAGGAUCAAAAUUGGAAACUAAUGACAAAAAUGAAGUGAAGGAUUGGAAGAUGGUAUAUUUAAAUUAGUGAAACUUAUAUGGAUAACUGUAUAUAAAGUCUCUUGUUCCAUUCUUGUGCUUAAAUUAUUUAAGUUUUGAAUUUGGCACUAAUAUGUUUAUUUCAAUCCAAAUUUUCAUCUGGUGGAUUUAACGGGAGAUGAUAUAGCAAAGGUGAUGUGAUAUCAAUUAAUUCAACAGAAUGAACUGUUCUCAUAGACAUUGAAAUCUUUAAAUGGUUUGGCUGCAAGCAAGGUGGUGAAUCAAGGAUGUUACAUUUAGUGGAUGGUAGAAGAAAGUCUUUGAAAGUGAUGAAGCCGUGGCUGUGACCAUCAAAAUGUUGUUGGCCAGGUGGUAAUGAAGUUGCUCAAACUCAUUUGAUAAUAUUGUAAUUCUUUAUUUAAGAAUGUUUUUAAGUACAAUUUGGGAAGAAAUUUAUUUUGUAAACAGGUUAGACUCCUUGUAUGGUAUGUGUGAGCUUUAUAGCUGAAGCUUUUGUUGAGUGGUGAUAUUAAUUUUUUCCGUACACAAGUCUUAAUGGCCACU